rnacentral:sRNA from 21 species
UGGGCUGGUCAUAAGACCCGGGUCCAUCUAUUAGUGGGUAAGACACCC